AUUGAACGCUGGCGGCAGGCCUAACACAUGCAAGUCGAGCGAGCGGCGGACGGGCGAGUAAUGUCUGGGAAACUGCCUGAUGGAGGGGGAUAACUACUGGAAACGGUAGCUAAUACCGCAUACCAUCAGAUUUGCCCAGAUGGGAUUAGCUAGUAGGUGGGGUAACGGCUCACCUAGGCGACGAUCCCUAGCUGGUCUGAGAGGAUGACCAGCCACACUGGAACUGAGACACGGUCCAGACGCCUACGGGAGGCAGCAGUGGGGAAUAUUGCACAAUGGGCGCAAGCCUGAUACAGCCAUGCCGCGUGUGUGAAGAAGGCCUUCGGGUUGUAAAGCACUUUCAGCGAGGAGGCGUUACCCGCAGAAGAAGCACCGGCUAACUCCGUGCCAGCCGCCGCGGUAAUAC
rnacentral:rRNA from 1 species